UCGUACAGUCCGAGGUAUGAUGUACUAUCGGAAAGCAUUGGAACUCCAAUCUUUUCUUGAUAUGGCCAAAGAUGAAGAUCUUAUGGAAGGCUAUAGGGCAGUUGAGUUAACAGCAGAAGAGAAAGUCGGAAGAUCUUUACGGGCACAGUGCCAAGCUGUAGCUGAUAUGAAGUUCACGUAUGUUGUAUCUUGCCAGCAAUAUAGUAUUCAGAAACGGUCUGGCAAUCAUCGUGCACAGGAUAUAUUAAAGCUUAUGACCACGUAUCCAUCCCUUCGUGUUGCUUAUAUAGAUGAAGUUGACACUCGUGGGGAAAGAAAGAGUGAGAAGGUUUACUACUCUUGCUUGGUGAAGGCUGCUUUAGCUAAGGAUGAAAAUGUUGCUGAUCGUGCUGAUGGAGUACCUAAUCUUGAUGAGGUUAUCUACAAAAUCAAACUUCCUGGUCCUGCCAUUUUGGGUGAAGGCAAGCCAGAAAACCAAAAUCAUGCCAUUAUAUUUACUCG
rnacentral:misc_RNA from 1 species